GGGGAGCUCUCCGCCUCCGAUCCUCCCAUUCGGCUGAAUGCGCACGCACGGCAAGAGCUGCGCGCGCAUUCAGCCGGUCUCAUAGGAAAGCAUUCAUAAUGCUUUCCUAUGGACGCUGGCGUCUUCUCACUGUGAUUUUCACAGUGAGAAUCACGCAAGUGCCUCUAGUGGCUGUCAAUGAGACAGCCGCUAGAGGCUUUGGAGGAUGGAUUAACCC
rnacentral:lncRNA from 1 species